GUGGGGAAUCUUCCGCAAUGGACGAAAGUCUGACGGAGCAACGCCGCGUGAGUGAUGAAGGUCUUCGGAUUGUAAAGCUCUGUUAAUCGGGACGAAAGAGCCUAGUGUGAAUAAUGCUAGGAAGUGACGGUACCGGAAUAGAAAGCCACGGCUAACUACGUGCCAGCAGCCGCGGUAAUACGUAGGUGGCAAGCGUUGUCCGGAAUUAUUGGGCGUAAAGCGCGCGCAGGCGGAUCUGCCAGUCUGUCUUAAAAGUUCGGGGCUUAACCCCGUGAUGGGAUGGAAACUACAGAUCUAGAGUAUCGGAGAGGAAAGGGGAAUUCCUAGUGUAGCGGUGAAAUGCGUAGAUAUUAGGAAGAACACCAGUGGCGAAGGCGACUUUCUGGACGAAAACUGACGCUGAGGCGCGAAAGCCAGGGGAGCGAACGGGAUUAGAUACCCGGGUAGUCC
rnacentral:rRNA from 1 species